rnacentral:rRNA from 1 species
AUUGAACGCUGGCGGCAUGCCUUACACAUGCAAGUCGAACGGUAACGCGGGGCAACCUGGCGACGAGUGGCGAACGGGUGAGUAAUGCAUCGGAACGUGCCCAGUAGUGGGGGAUAGCCCGGCGAAAGCCGGAUUAAUACCGCAUACGACCUACGGGUGAAAGGGGGGGAUCGCAAGACCUCUCGCUAUUGGAGCGGCCGAUGUCAGAUUAGGUAGUUGGUGGGGUAAAGGCCUACCAAGCCGACGAUCUGUAGCUGGUCUGAGAGGACGACCAGCCACACUGGGACUGAGACACGGCCCAGACUCCUACGGGAGGCAGCAGUGGGGAAUUUUGGACAAUGGGCGCAAGCCUGAUCCAGCCAUGCCGCGUGCGGGAAGAAGGCCUUCGGGUUGUAAACCGCUUUUGUCAGGGAAGAAACGCCUUGGGCUAAUACCCCAGGGUAAUGACGGUACCUGAAGAAUAAGCACCGGCUAACUACGUG